rnacentral:rRNA from 1 species
AGUGAACGCUGGCGGCAGGCCUAAUACAUGCAAGUCGAACGGCAGCACAGCAGAGCUUGCUCUGUGGGUGGCGAGUGGCGGACGGGUGAGGAAUACAUGGGAAUCUGCCCAGUCGUGGGGGAUAACGUAGGGAAACUUACGCUAAUACCGCAUGCGCCCUUCGGGGGAAAGCCGGGGACCUUCGGGCCUGGCGCGAUUGGAUGAGCCCAUGUCGGAUUAGCUAGUUGGUGGGGUAAAGGCCCACCAAGGCGACGAUCCGUAGCUGGUCUGAGAGGAUGAUCAGCCACACUGGAACUGAGACACGGUCCAGACUCCUACGGGAGGCAGCAGUAGGGAAUAUUGGACAAUGGGCGCAAGCCUGAUCCAGCCAUGCCGCGUGUGUGAAGAAGGCCUUCGGUGUAAGCACUUUAUCC